GACGAACGCUGGCGGCGUGCUUAACACAUGCAAGUCGAACGAAGUGGCGAACGGGUGAGUAACGCGUAAUAAACCUGCCCUUCAGAGGGGGCCAACAGUUGUAAACGACUGCUAAUACCGCAUACUGAAGGAGGGGCUUGCGUUUGAUUAGCAAGUUGGAGGGGUAACGGCCCACCAAGGCGAUGAUCAGUAGCCGGUCUGAGGGGGUGAACGGCCAAAUUGGGACUGGGAACCGGCCCAGACUCCUACGGGAGGCAGCAGUGGGGAAUCUUCCGCAAUGGACGGAAGUCUGACGGAGCAACGCCGCGUGAGUGAUGACGGCCUUCGGGUUGUAAAGCUCUGUUAAUCGGGACGCGGUACCGGAAUAGAAAGCCACGGCUAACUACGUGCCAGCAGCCGCGGUAAUAC
rnacentral:rRNA from 1 species